rnacentral:rRNA from 1 species
GUGGGGAAUAUUGGGCAAUGGGGGCAACCCUGACCCAGCGACGCCGCGUGAGGGAAGAAGGCCUUAGGGUCGUAAACCUCUGUUGUGUGGGAAGAAGGAAGUGACGGUACCACACGAGGAAGUCCCGGCUAACUACGUGCCAGCAGCCGCGGUAAUACGUAGGGGACGAGCGUUGUCCGGAAUUACUGGGCGUAAAGGGCGCGUAGGCGGUCAUUUAAGUCAGCUGUGAAAUGGUCCGGCUCAACCGGAUCAUGCGGUGGAAACUGGAUGACUGGAGUGCUGGAGAGGCAAGUGGAAUUCCCAGUGUAGCGGUGAAAUGCGUAGAUAUUGGGAAGAACACCGGUGGCGAAGGCGACUUGCUGGCCAGCAACUGACGCUGAGGCGCGAAAGCCAGGGGAGCAAACGGGAUUAGAUACCCUUGUAGUCC